GUUGAUAAGGUUAAGUGAAUAAGGGCGCACGGUGGAUGCCUUGGCACUAGGAGCCGAUGAAGGACGGGACUAACACCGAUAUGCUUUGAGGAGCUGUACGUAAGCUAUG
rnacentral:rRNA from 1 species